rnacentral:rRNA from 1 species
UAGAGUUUGAUCCUGGCUCAGGAUGAACGCUAGCUGGAGGCUUAAUACAUGCAAGUCGAGCGGGAUUGGUAGCAAUACCAUGAGAGCGGCGCACGGGUGAGUAACGCGUACACGACCUACCUUUGACUGGGGGAUAGCCCUGGGAAACUGGGAUUAAUACCGCAUAUAAUUCUCGAUAAUAAAGGUUGGGAAUGAAAGUUCAGGCGGUCAGAGAUGGGUGUGCGUCUGAUUAGCUAGUUGGUGAGGUAACGGCUCACCAAGGCGAUGAUCAGUAGGGGGCGUGAGAGCGUGGUCCCCCACACGGGUACUGAGACACGGACCCGACUCCUACGGGAGGCAGCAGUAAGGAAUAUUGGUCAAUGGGCGAAAGCCUGAACCAGCCAUCCAGCGUGCAGGAAGAAGGCCCUAUGGGUUGUAAACUGCUUUUGUCAGGGAAUAAACCUGUGGAUUCACUCCGCAGCUGAAGGUACCUGAAGAAUAAGCACCGGCUAACUCCGUGCCAGCAGCCCCGGUCAA